rnacentral:lncRNA from 10 species
GUUGUUUUUCAUCAAUUAUGGGAGCUUUAAGUGAAUGCCCUUGCAGAAUGUAUGUUGUAUGUUUUUAUUUUUAUUUUUUGAGACAGAGUUUUGCUCUGUCGCCCAGGCUGGAGUGCAGUGGCGUGAUCUCGGCUUACUGCAAGCUCCGCCUCCCGGGUUCACGCCAUUCUCCUGCAUCAGCCUCCCGAGUAGCUGGGACUACAGGCGCCGCCACCACGCCUGGCUUUUUUGUAUUUUUAGUAGAGACGGGGUUUCACCGUGUUAGCCAGGAUGGUCUCGAUCUCCUGACCUCGUGAUCCGCCUGCCUCCGCCUCCCAAAGUGCUGGGAUUACAGGCGUGAGCCACGGCGCCUGGCCGUGACUAGGUCUUUAUAUGAGUAAUACCUUGCAUUUGGUUAGUACAGUAGGUUGGGCAAGUGAUAUUAUGUAGGACAGGGAUUCUUAAACUCGAACAUACAUGAGAAUCACCUAGAGGGCACAAGAUUGCUGGGUUCCACCUCCAGACUCCUUAUUCAGUAGAUCUGGGGGUGGAGUCUCAUAAUUUGCAUUUCUCCCAAGUUUCUGGGUGGUACUGAGGGCACUGGUCCAGGGAUUACAUUUUAGAUAACUAAAGCCCCGAGAAAUUAAAUUAUUUACUUAAGAUUAUACAGCUAAUAGUGGUACAAAGCUAGAUCUUAAACCCAGCCCUCUGUACUCAAAAUU